rnacentral:lncRNA from 10 species
UGGCCAUCUCUCACCUUCCAGAUAUUUGAAUGAUACCUACCAUUCCAGCAGCCAGCACAAGUCAUUUAAUAUGAAUGCCAGAAACACAAUCCCUGAGGACAGGUACAGGAGACCAGAUGCCAGGAAAAACCCCGGCCCCACCCAAGAGUUGGGGAGAGCCCACUGCUCCUCCACCCUUAUUUACCACCUGAGCCCCUGCACCCGCCAAUCAUGCUGCUCAGUCUGUAACUGCGGGUCUGAGUGAGCACCUACAUUUGGCUGUUGAGGGGCAGCUGGUGGAGUUGGCAGGCGACUCUGCACUAAGUUCUCAGGUUGAAUGGGAGUUGGGUCGAGGGAAGGAAUGGACGCAGAGUUAGGGUGAAGAGUUGCGGUGGGUCAGCGGGGGUGAAAGGACAUGGAGAUGUCAUUUUUAACAAGAUUGGGUGAGGGUGGUAGGAAAGGAGGCAGCAAGAGUUCGGGACAGUUUGGCAAAGACUUAGGGAUGGGGUGUCCUCAGUACGGCAGGAGACGCAAAGGAAGGUAUACAGUGGGCUAGGAGACUAAGGACGAGAAGACACAGUUACGACUUGGAAUAAGGCUGAGAUCGGAGUUAUCCAGAAGAAAGCGGUGCCAGAAGCCCAGGAAGCACACAUCAAGGCUCGCUUGCCAGCGGGGUGCUGCCAAUAAAAUGUAGUCACGUGGAAUUUGGGAUGUGGAAAGGAGGUAGAAGUCAUCCUUUCCUCCCCCAUAGCAGCAGGUGUGCAGGCUCUGGUGGUCAGCUGGACUCCAUACUCCCCCACCAGUCACCAGCCUGGGGACCGUGGGGCUGCAAGGACCUCAGCAGCAGUUUCCCAAGUUUCCUGACUUCUUCCAUCCUCUGGAAAUCAGCUGUGGUAA